UGCCCCAUGGCUGAGUUGGUUACAGCGUCCGACUGUUACCCGCUAGAGCAAUCGGAAGGUCGUGAGUUCGAGCCUCACUGGGGCAG